AGGAUGAACGCUGGCGGCGUGCUUAACACAUGCAAGUCACGGGGGCCCAGCAAUGGGCAACCGGCGAACGGGUGCGUAACACGUGAGCAACCUACCGAAAUGAGGGGGAUAGCCGGCCCAACGGCCGGGUAAUACCGCAUAAGCUCAAGUCGAGGCAUUUCGAUUUGAGGAAACCUCCGGGGCGUUUCGAGGGGGCUCGCGGCCUAUCAGCUAGUUGGUGAGGUAACGGCUCACCAAGGCAACGACGGGUAGC
rnacentral:rRNA from 1 species